rnacentral:rRNA from 1 species
UCCUCUACGUCUCGUGGGCUCGGAGAUGUGUAUAAGAGACAGGAGUGUGUUAAAACUUACCUGCCGAAUGAACUAGUCCCGAAAAUGGAUGGCGCUAAAGCGUGUGACCGAUACCGGACCAUUGGCGCGAGAGUGAGGCGCCAAUGAGUAGGAGGGCGUGAGCGUCGUGGCGAAGCCUUUGGCGUAAGCCUGGGUUGAACGGCGUUUAGUGCAGAUCUUGGUGGUAGUAGCAAUUAUUCAAAUGAGAACUUUGAAGGCCGAAGUGGAGAAGGUUUCCGUGAGAACAGCAAUUGGUCACGGGUGACUCGAUCCUAAGACAUGGGGGAAAUCCUUGUUAAGUGUGCGCUAGCACGUAGUCGAAAGGGAAUGAGGUUAAUAUUCCUCAAGCUGGAUGUGGGCGUUAAAUGGCAACAUCAACGAACUUAGAGACGCCAGCGUGAGCCUCUGGAAGAGUUAUCUUUUCUUUUUAACAGACUAGCGACCCUGAAGUUCAUUUACUGAGAGAUAGGGUGGCACGUCUGGAAGAGCACCUCGCUUUUUGAGGUGUCAGGUGCGCUCAUGAUGGUCCAUGAAAAUCUAAGUGAGAUAGCUUCACUCCAGGUCGUACCCACAACCGCAUCAGGUCUCCAAGGUUAGCAGCCUCUGGCCAACUAGAAUAAUGUAGAUAAGGGAAGUCGGCAAAAUAGUUCCGUAACUUCGGGAAAAGGAAUGGCUCUGAGGACAGGGCGGUUAGGGCCGACUUUGAAUCCCAAGUUGUUGAGGUCAGCGGUACCCCUGCGGUUCUGCUACCUAGACUGACGAAAGGAAGAUUAGAAGGUACGCUUUUGCAUCCUUCCGCGAUGAACUGUCGACUCAGAACUGGAGCGGACAAGGGGAAUCCGACAGUUUAAUAAAAACCAAGCAUUGUGAUGGCCUUAAAAGGUGAUGACACAAUGUGAUUUCUGCCCAGUGCUCUGAAUGUCAACGUGGAGAAAUUCAAUGAAGCUUGGGUAAACGGCGGGAGUAACUAUGACUCUCUUAAGGUAGCUAAAUGCCUCGUCAUCUAAUUAGUGACGUGCAUGAAUGGAGCAACGAGAUUCCUACUGUCCCUGUUUACUAUUCAGCGAAACCACAGCCAAGGGAACGGGCUUGGUACACACAGCGGGGAAAGAAGACCCUGUUGAGCUUGACUCUAGUCUGGAUCGGUUUGGCGACUUGUCAGGUGUAGCAUAGGUGGGAGAAUUUCGCCAAUGAAAUACCACUACUGACAUAGUUUCUGAACCCACGAUGUUCGUGCAGCAUCAGGAUGCAUUUUCAUCGGCAAAUCCAGAUCGGGAGUUUGGCUGGGGCGGCAUAUCUGUUAAAAGAUAACGCAGGUGUCCUAAGACGAGCUCAGACAGAUCAGAAAUCUGUCGUAGACUGACAGGAGAAAGACUCGCUUGAUUGUAGUCUCCAGUACGGACUACAAAUGCUAACGCAUGGCCUAUCGAUCCUUACGCGUUGACUUUUUCAGCUAGAGGUGUCAGAAAAGUUACCACAGGGAUAACUGAUUCGUGGCGACCAAGAGUUCAUAUCGACGUCGCUUUUUGAUCCUUCGAUGUCGGCUCUUCCUAUCAUUGUGAAGCAGAAUUCACAAAGUGUCGGAUUGUUCACCCGCUAAUAGGGAACGUGAGCUGGGUUUAGACCGUCGUGAGACAGGUUAGUUUUACCCUA